rnacentral:lncRNA from 1 species
AAGGAUGGCUCGGGAUGUUCUGUCGAUUCAAGCGUCAACUGUUGCAUCGGAAAGCGUUUUUAGUCAAGAAAGACUACAAAUAGGUGAUCAUAGAGCGUCGCUGCGGGACAGCUUGGAAAAAUCAGUGAUAUUCCGAGAUUGGAUCCGCUCUGAAAGGAGGAACUUUGGGCUAGUUGAAUCUCAACCAGAAAUAGAUGAGUGCUACAAAGAAAUGCUAGCAGAACUUGCUCAGGAAGC